rnacentral:lncRNA from 1 species
AAGAAGUUAAAAAUAAUUAUUACCGGGUUUUCUCCCGGUAAUGCCAACAAUGACAUCGUAUUCGGCCGGAGGAGUGUCCCGUCAUUUGUGUUCCUGCAAAGCUCAGGAGAAUACGUGCGUCUUUGCUCUCUGGCAAGGUAUUGACCAAAAGAAUCGUGAAAAGGCCGCCUAGUGAAUAUGAAUCGAACAUUGAUGCUUGCUGUGCUUGUGCUUGUACUGGCGUCAUGCUUCUCUUCUUAUGCAGAUCAUAGGCAUGUGCUAUCUAACCGAGAUCGAGGAAAGAGACGUGCUGAGUUCCUGAGAAUCAUCCAGGGGGGCAAGAACGCUACAAGACCGUCUGUGGGAGCACUGAGUGGCAGCGGGACCCACUCUGCCCCGCCCAUCGUGUACGGUCCCCCCCUGAAGCCCCGACCAGCGUUGCUUUGGAUCAAAAAGUAGCUUCGAUGGAGACCUUUCUAUCCUGAUUUGGGGGGGGGGGGAGGGGUCAUCCUGCCUUUCUGAAUGGAUUUCAGUAUAUUUGUUAUUGUUUACUUUCGGAAUAUGUAAGAACUCCAGGUUAGUCAUCCUUGUAUUGUGUACCCCUUUUGUAUUCACAGUAUAAUCGUUGUCAAUGCGUUCCGUUGUUGCUACCUGUCUACUGCUUGUCUGUUUCAGUACGUAAUAUAUAUAUAUAUAUAUAUAUAUAUAUAUAUAUAUAUAUAUAUAUAUAUAUAUAUAUAUAUAUAUAUAUAUAUAUAUAUAUAUAUAUAUAUAUAUAUAUAGCUUGGAUAAUAUGAAUGAACGGACAUUGGGAGAAAAAUAAUUUGCUGCGGAAUUUUCAUCGUAUUGAUAUACAAUUAUUAGAUUCUAUUAUAUGAUAUUGUUAUUACAUUGUGUACAUAACAUUGUGACGAGUAGUUGAGGUAUCAAACGAAAUUAGUUGGGCUAUUUUCUUCCUGGUAUAGGCCUAUUGUCUUCCCUAGGCUCGAACACACUAUAACCUUGUACAGAUUGCUGUUCGUUAUUUCAUAAAGAAUUUGAGGUUUCA